rnacentral:rRNA from 1 species
AUUGAACGCUGGCGGCAGGCCUAACACAUGCAAGUCGAGCGGAGCGGCGGACGGGUGAGUAAUGCCUAGGAAUCUGCCUGGUAGUGGGGGAUAACGUCCGGAAACGGGCGCUAAUACCGCAUACUAUCAGAUGAGCCUAGGUCGGAUUAGCUAGUUGGUGGGGUAAAGGGCUACCAAGGCGACGAUCCGUAACUGGUCGGAGCGGAUGAUCAGUCACACUGGAACUGAGACACUGUCCAGAGUCCUACGGGAGGCAGGGGUGGGGAAUAGUGGACAAGGGGCGAAAGCCUGAUCGAGCCAUGCCGCGUGUGUGAAGAAGGUCUUCGGAUUGUAAAGCACUUUAAGUUGGGAGGCGUUACCAACAGAAUAAGCACCGGCUAACUUCGUGCCAGCAGCCGCGGUAAUAC